UACGUAGGGUGCAAGCGUUAAUCGGAAUUACUGGGCGUAAAGCGUGCGCAGGCGGUUCGCUAAGACAGAUGUGAAAUCCCCGGGCUUAACCUGGGAACUGCAUUUGUGACUGGCGGGCUAGAGUAUGGCAGAGGGGGGUAGAAUUCCACGCGUAGCAGUGAAAUGCGUAGAGAUGUGGAGGAAUACCGAUGGCGAAGGCAGCCCCCUGGGCCAAAUACUGACGCUCAUGCACG
rnacentral:rRNA from 1 species